rnacentral:rRNA from 1 species
UACGGGGGGAGCAAGCGUUAUCCGGAAUCACUGGGCGUAAAGCGCGCGCAGGUGGUUCCUUAAGUCUGAUGUGAAAGCCCACGGCUCAACCGUGGAGGGUCAUUGGAAACUGGGGAACUUGAGUGCAGAAGAGGAAAGUGGAAUUCCAAGUGUAGCGGUGAAAUGCGUAGAGAUUUGGAGGAACACCAGUGGCGAAGGCGACUUUCUGGUCUGUAACUGACACUGAGGCGCGAAAGCGUGGGGAGCAAACAGG